ensembl:miRNA
ACGGCUGCCAGCGUCAUUUUUGUGAUCUGCAGCUAGUAUUCUCACUCCAGUUGCAUAGUCACAAAAGUGAUCACUGGCAGGUGUGGCCGCUGCA